rnacentral:rRNA from 1 species
GAUGAACGCUGGCGGCGUGCCUAAUACAUGCAAGUCGAGCGAACGGACGAGAAGCUUGCUUCUCUGAUGUUAGCGGCGGACGGGUGAGUAACACGUGGAUAACCUACCUAUAAGACUGGGAUAACUUCGGGAAACCGGAGCUAAUACCGGAUAAUAUUUUGAACCGCAUGGUUCAAAAGUGAAAGACGGUCUUGCUGUCACUUAUAGAUGGAUCCUCGCUGCAUUAGCUAGUUGUUAAGGUAACGGCUUACCAAGGCAACGAUGCAUAGCCGACCUGAGAGGGUGGUCGCCCACACUGGAACUGAGGCACGGUCCAGACUCCUGCGAGAGGCAGCAGUAGGGAAUCUUACGCAAUGGGCGAAAGCCUGACGGAGCAACGCCGCGUGAGUGAUGAAGGUCUUCGGAUCGUAAAACUCUGUUAUUAGGGAAGAACAUAUGUGUAAGUAACUGUGCACAUCUUGACGGUACCUAAUCAGAAAGCCACGGCUAACUACGUG